GGAUGUAGAAGAUGUCCCCCCUAAGAAGUCACAGCAUGUCACAUUAGCAUCCAGCUCUGCAGGAACAGAUGAUACUGAAAACAAAAUGCACGACAAACUGGGAGCUGUGAACUGGGAAGCAGAUGUUCUUCUCAGGGACAGCCUAGAGGCAGCAAGGUGGUGCGAACGUCAAACAUUUAAAGGCACCAUUUCCCUCCCAGGUGUAAUUGAGAUGGACGGGGAAGACCGUAUUACAACCCUUAAAGAACUACGGUUGUAUGAUGGCCUGGAUGAAGAGGAACAUAUUCUCCUCAAGGAACCAUUCAUGUUCUCAUUCCAGUUAGAGGGAUGAGAUGUUCCAUGUGGAGGCAGUUGACAAGAAAAUGACUGUCUGCCUCUUCUGAAGAGCAGGAGUGAAGCCAUUUUUGAAGAGUGGUCAAACCUUGUUUUUGUCUACUGUGUAAAUUGUGUUAUGUUGUUUAGUAAAGAUGUAGAAGUCACCCGAGUCUCUGAUCUCUGUACUGAAGC